rnacentral:lncRNA from 1 species
GUGGUUCUAUCACAGUCGCUUAAAUUAUUUUAUUUGAUUAAAACCUGAUUUUAAAGCAUGCUAACUUAUAUGCCAUUUAUUUAUAAACCUCUUUUAUCUUUAUUUAUUUUUAAAAGCCUUGCGACGUUGUGAAAACACGUCCCUGACCGCGUCGCCGUCAAGGCACACGUAGUCAUACACAUUUCGACUUCAUCAAGACUUGGAUUUGGAUCGCAAUCAAUGCACACCCGAGUUUAAGAAAAUAAUUUAUUUAAAUUGCGCAUAAAUGUUCUAACGCAAUGUUAUAUGGGAAAGGCAGUUGAAAUUUGCUAAGCGGCCCUUCCGAAUUCUAAUCAUUUUUAAUAACUAAUAAUUGAGUCCCCCACAUUUAUUCUUGUUCGGUGAGGCUCGUCUCCAAUUUCGAACCAUUUUUAAUCUUUAUUCGUUUUAUAAGAAUUACGACAUCAUGAAAACGCGUCUCUGACCGCGUCACCAUCAAGGCACCCGUGGUUAUCAACACAUUUCGACUUCGUCGAGAUUUGGAUUUGGGUUGCAUUAAUGAACAGCCGAAUUUAGGAAGGUAUUUUAGUUAAACGCGUCUAAAGAUUCUAGCGUAUUAUUACCUUUUGGAAGGGCCGUGAAAUUCACUAAACGGCACGUCCCGAAUUCUAAGCAAUUCAACUUAAGGCAACCAAAUUAUUUGGUAUAAAAAAUUCUGCACAAAUAAAUCAUUUGGUAUGAAUAUGCAUUUAGGCACUUCACCACCACAAAACAAAACUAGACAGAAGGAGCAAUGUUUUUUUUUAGUACAAACACUAAGACGAAAGCAGAAUAAAUUUAGGCCUACGAAUUUAUUACUUUAUGUGAGUAAAACUUAGUAGACAAAUGUUAAGUUCAUCAGCAAAACAACAUCAUACUCAAAUAUAUUUGAAUUAUGCUAAUGGAACCAAAGAUAAACAAAGGGAGGAACUCAAAGCUAAAAUCAACAAUUGAGCCAACUAGUCUUUCAGAACUGAGCAGAAACUGAUAAAACAUUUUUCAUUUCAUGAGCUAAACAAACCAACAAAACUCAGCUAACAACGGUGGAGAUUGAAACUUUAAUUCCCAUGCCAAAACUUUGCAACACAUUUCACUCAUUAGUUAUAUUUAUUACUUGAUUUUAAAUGCAGACAACUUGGUAUAUGGAGAAUAAAGUAUAAUACGUCAUUUUCACAACAUAAAAGCAAACAGAGGGAAAAUAGAAGAAAACAUAUAGUAGAAUAGUGUUUUAUUGCAUUCAUGCCUAGAGCCGAUCACUUCAUCAAUGAAAAACCAGUUCUCUUAGAACUACAUAGUGCAGCACAAGAACAACAUAACAAACGCAUCAACGAGCAACUGAAACAACCAAACAAGUAGUGAAAAAAUCUAGCCAUCAUUCCUAAGAAGCAUUCACAGCAUCAUUUACUUUCAAAAAUAAACUUCUCAUGUCUGCAUAUUUUCACAUUAGCUCACAUGAACUCUCAUUUUAAACAUAGAAACCAAAAGAUGAAUUUCAGCAAUUUAUAACCAACUCGAAGAGCUUCAUAUGAACUAAUCAAGCACUUAUUUUAGAGAUUAACCGGAUAGAGACAGUAAUUGGAAUUACCCUACGGUUUCAAUCAAAACCAAUAUAUCAAGGAAUUUGGACACCCAGAUAUAUCAUUUUCUAAACAUACAUUCAAUCAUUUUCUCAUUUAAUGAAAAUAAUACAAGGAAUUGGGACUAACCUAGUUUAAUUCAAAGCUCAGUCAACAGCAGUCACAACGCGAUUUCCAAUCUCAGCUUGAACACCCAGAUAUAUCAACUUAAAUUUCUAAACUCGACCACAAAAUACAACUUGAUUCAAGUCGAUUGCAGCAACAACAAAAUAGGAAGAAACUACAGCGACUCGACCCGACGACCUCUCAUAAUCCCGACAAACUAGAACUCAAACGGGUUGGUUUUGGAGCUGAUUUUCAGUGAGCUAUUAGAGCUCUAUCUGGCUGGAUUUGGUGGCUGAUUGCAGCAAGUUUCAGCUGCCUUUUUGGGGUAUAUUUGGACUAUUUUUCGAGCAGAUUUUCGCCGGGUUUUGGGGCUGUUUUUCAGCAGUUCUUCAGCGGGAUUUUGUAACUGAUUUAGAGCAGUUUCAGGGCGUUCUUUUGGAGGUGAUUAGCGACUGGAUUUUUGGGUGUUAUGUUGUGUGUGUUCUUAGGAAAAAAUGGGGAAAUUCGCGUGUCCUCCCUUCUUCUAUCUGAUCUCUGUAUUUGUAUGUGAAGGAGUGAAAAAGAAGGGUUGAAAAAUUGGGGAACGAGACACGCCUUUUCCGUGUGUCUAAGGGGAGGGUAUCAGCUAAAUGGAAUUUGGGCCAUGGGUCAUGGGUUUUUGGGUUGGAUUCAAUUGGCUGAGCUGUUUGGCCCAAAUUUGGGUCUUAAGACCAACCUUUUAAUUUGUUUUUUCUUAGGCUUUUCUCUUUUAUCUCUUUUAUUAAUUAAUUAAAAUCCUAAAUUAUUUUUAUAGACAUUAAAACAACUAACUAACUUAAAACUAAAGAAAAAUGCUAAUUUUAAAGAUUAGAAGCUAAAGAUGAUCAUUUUUUGUGAUUUUUCUUAAUGAAAUUAAUUCCUAUAUGAAAAUUGGACCUAAGGUGACAUAAAAUUAAAACGUGACAUUUUGUGUGAUUUUUCUAUGAUUUUAGAAUAUUAAAAAUGUAUGAAAUGCAACUAAAUAAAGAAAAACUUCUAAAAUCCAUAAAAAGUCAUUUUUGGUAUAUUUUUAGGAGUUAUCUUCAUCCAGGGCAAAAAUCACGUGCUUACAGCUGCCCCUCUUUGCUCGGAAACACGAAAACUUUUCAGGCAAAGAUAAAAUAAGCACUGUGAGGGAUUUUUGCCCAUUUGAAACUCCAUGAGAAGUAUUUUUAAAAAACUGUCUGACCGAACCUUGCUUCACAGGUUGCCUACAUAUCCUUGGCUAUAAAGGAAUCAGGUCAAGUGUAGUUCAGAAGUUUUGGUAGUUGGAACUACCGAGAAGCUGUGAUUUCGCUGUUGUUUCUGCUUGCUGAGCUCCUUAUUACACCAAAGAGGAAAAUCAAAAGCAAAGCUAGCUAAUCCUAUCAACUACGAGUUACAAGAUUCCUAUCUAUAAAUCUCUUGAAGCUUGAUCUUGAAUCUUAGAUGGUUCUUACUGUAGACUUCGAUCUGAAUCUUGAUGCUCGCGAGGUGUGAGGGCUUGUUUCUUUCUGCAGCCUUGAGUCAAAGUAGCUUGUGACUUUGAUCAAAAUUUGAGCAAUCCACAACCUGGCUUGCCUCCCAUUUGAGUUUAUUUCUUUUUGUUCUUUUCUUAUUUUCUUACUUGAAUUGGGGACUCAUUUCUUCAGUCAUGUCGCCCAUUGUGCCUUGUGGUCAAAACCUAUUUAAAAGUACCAAAACAAACAAACGAACGAAAUUUUCUGCCCCAGUUUUACUAGGAAAAUUUUGUGAGUCAAUUGUGACACAUACGAAAAUCAAACUAGAAGAGGCAUUUCAGAUUUGGCCAAACAUUCUCGAUUAUUAAACCGGAUUUCGAAAAGAAAAAGCUCCACAGUUUUCUGGCCGUGAGAUCCUCGGUUUUUUUGCUAGGAUAUUUUUAAAAGAAAAGGCUCCACGGUUUUGUAGCCGGGAGAUCCUCGAUUUUUUGGCCGGGAUAUUUUGAAAAACAAAAGCUCCACGGUUUUCUGGCAGGGAGAUCCUCGGUUUUUGGCCGGGAUAUUUGAAAAGAAAAAGCUCCACGGUUUUCUGACCGGGAGAUCCUCGUUUUUUUGACCGGGAUAUUUGAAAGCUUAAAAGCUCCACGGUUUUCUGGCCGGGAGAUCCUCGUUUUUUUGGUUGGUAUAUUUUGAAAAGAAGAAGCUCCAUGGUUUUCUGGCCGGGAGGUCCUCGAUUUUCUAGGGGGGAUAUUUGAAAGCAAAAAGCUCCACGGUUUUCUGGUCGGGAGAUCUUCGGUUUUUUGGCUGGGAUAUUUUGAAAAGAAAAAGCUCCACGGUUUUUUGGCCGGUAGGUCCUCAGUUUUCUGGUCACGAUAUUUUGAAAAGAAAAUUCUCCACGAUUUUCUGGCCGGGAGGUCCUCGAUUUUUGGCCGGGAUAUUUGAAAAAAAAAGCUCCACGGUUUUCUGGCCGGGAGAUCCUCGAUUUUCUGACCGGGAUAUUUUGAAAAGAAAGAGCUCCACGGUUUUCUGGCAGGGAGAUCCUCGGUUUUCUGGCCGGGAUUUUGAAAAGAAAAAGCUAAGCUACCAUGAUUUGAUUCUCUUUUGGGGAUUUUCAUUUCCCAUUUUUUUCCUUUUUCUUUAUUGGGGUUUUCUUUUUAGAUGUUUUUCUUUUUUAUUUAUCAAAAUGCAUGAAAGAAUAUUUUGAAAAGAAACAUUCCUUUUGGGUCGUUUCCCUAUUGCAGAGCUAUUUCAACACUCGCGCAUUUCAUUUCUUUUUGGGAUGCACCUACUUCUUGCACAACUGUUUUGAAUAAGACCUGUUUUCAACAAAGAACAAUUUAUUAGUUGAAACGGUGGUUGGGUUUAUGGCCUUGAUCAUCUCCAUCUCUUGAUCCUAGACCCAUUUCCAUUGAGAAUUCUGCUGCUUGUUGACCUUGAGGGUGGAUCUCUUUCACACUGACCAGGUUCAGCCUUAGGAUUUCCUGAUGACUCGUCCGUGUAGGCUCUGGUUUUAUACCUCAUUUGCUAUCUAGACCUUUGCCUUUGGCUUUCUUUCUUUUCUAAUGUCUUUCACUUUGGAGGCAAUCAACCACCAUGGUCAGUGGGGAUUGGACUGGCGUACCACUGAGGCUGAGUAUUUUCUUUGACUCUUUCCGGGCGGAGCCCUGUGAAACUGGUCCUGCCACCUUUUUCUUUGUAAUUAUUUUGGAAUCAGAGUUAAAUCGAAAGGUAUUCAAAGAAAUGUAUGCAAAAGGCAAGCAUAUGAGUUUAAAGAGAAGCGUCUCCUUCGGGGGAAAAGAAGGACUUAUCUGGGGUGCAUGCUGGCUCCAAAUGAACAUGAUAUGCUUCUUGGACUGGACGCCAAUCAGUCGGGAUUGGACUAGCGCACCACUGAGGCUGAGUAUUUCUUUGACUCUUGCCAGGUGGAGCCCUGUGAAACCGAUCCUGGCACCUUUUCUUUGUAAUUACUACAGAAUCAAAGUUAAACCGAAAGGGAUUCAAAGAAAAAUAUGAAAAAGGCAAGUAUAUGAGUUUAAAGAGAAGCGUCCCUUUCGGGGGAAAAGAAGGACUUAUCUGGGGUGCAUGCUGACUCCAAAUGAACAUGACAUUUUCCUUGGACUGGACGCCCGACCCGCACCAACUUCCAACUUCUCAUGAACCCAUCGACCCAUAUUUCCAAACUUGGGAACCUUGCCAAGGCUUUUAGUGAUGAAGUAUCCUCUUUUCGGCCGACAACACCCUUUGCGAGUUUUCGCCUAUUCGACCUCUCUCAUUUCUCCUCACUGUCGCCGGAUAGUUCUCUUUGAGAGUUUUCACUAAGUAGACUCUCUCAUAUUUGUUUUCUCUACUCACCAUCGCAUUAUGGUGCCCGAAGGUUUUCAUCGAUAAGACUCUCUUAUUUUAUUUCUCUUAAUUUAAAUUGUAUCAGAUUCCAACAAUGACGUUUCCCACUUUGCGGUCUUUGCCAAUUGAUCAAAAGGACUUGGAUAAGGUCUUUGGGUAAAAGUACUUUGGGUGAAACUACAACUUUGGAACCAUUUCGGCGGUCUCAUGGCCGAACCAUUAUAUCAUCUGCCCCAGNNNNNNNNNNNNNNNNNNNNNNNNNNNNNNNNNNNNNNNNNNNNNNNNNNNNNNNNNNNNNNNNNNNNNNNNNNNNNNNNNNNNNNNNNNNUUUGGGGGAAUUGGGAUUUUUGUUUUGGUGUGACUGAACCUCAGGGAGAGGCUGCCUACGUAUCCUUUCGGAAUCAAGUCAAACGUAGUUCAGGAGUUUUGGUUUUUGUUUUUGUUUUUGUUUCCGUUUUGUCUUUCUUUUCUUCUCUUUUCUUUUUCCCUUUUCUUUGUCUUUUCUUUUCUUUUCUUUUCCUUAUUCUUUUCUUUCUUUCUUUUUAUUUUAUUUUGUACUUCUCAAUUUUUUUCUUUGUUUUUUCUCCUCGUUUUAUUUUUCUUUUCUUUCUUUUCUUUUUGUACUUCCGGGUUCCAAAGAGGGUAAUCAAAGAAAGGUAACCGGCUCAAAGGGUUUGCAAAGGAUUGAUGGUGUUUGGAUAGCGGGAAUGAGAGCCUUCGUCAUCUCAACUAUGCAAAGACAUCGCUGGAGCAAGUUUAGACAUAGUACCUUUUUGCUGCAUCCGCAUCCACAGCUGUUUCGGGAUCAUUUCCUGCGCUGUCACCCAGAUAUAAUGCUCCUCUCGGCAGUAUUUCUAAUGGUGUAUGGAUCCUUCCGAUUAGGCGCAAACUUCCUUUUACUUCCUGGUGGGGAGGAACAAUGUGCCUUAACACCAGUUACCUACUUCAAAUUUCAUAGGCGCAGGCCAUUCUUUGUUGGUACAAUUGCCCGUGACAAACUGCAGUCAUCCAUUUCAAUUAAGGUCAACGCGCCUUAACACCAUUUGCCCUACUUCAAAUUUCAUAGGCAUGGUCCGUUCUUUGUUGGUACAACUGCCCGUGACAAACUUCAGUCAUCCAUUUCAAUUAAGGUUAAUGUUCCAUGCGAGUCUAGACCCACUCACUGUUCUCGAACUCUGCUUCAGUGCCGGACCUUUUCCAAACCACGAACCAAUUUUCCCCAGUUGUUCCGAUUCUUUUCUUUUAUUUUUCUCAAAUUUAACUUCUUUGUAUUUCAACUUUUGAUUCAUCAUUUCGAAGUCUGACAAAUUUCUUGGGAUCUGGGCAUGAAAUCUGCGAGUAUGUCAUGUCAUUUAAAGCUGCAUUAUUAGAGAAAGAGAAAAAACAAAGCAAACACUGAUAGAGCUAAUGAGAUCUGGGCAUGAAGUCCGCGAGCAUGUCAUGUUAUUUAAGCUGCAUUAUGAGAGAAAGGAAAAGAAACAUAGCAAACUCUAAAAAAAUAAAGAAAAUGAACGAUGAAAUAUUGAUUUCAUUUCUUGGAAUUUGGGAAGAUAACAGGUUUAGAAUUUCAGGAAUUUAGAGACAGGGAACUAAAGAAAACAUCCGAGUCACACCCUGGAAUGACUCGCGAUGCGGAAAAAGUGGCAGGACAAAUCUACUAGGACUCCCGCCUGACCAGGAAUGGCGUAGCCUUCCAGUUUUGCAGCUUGGCACUUGGUCCUAUGUAUAACACCUCACUAGUGCUAGUGCCUUCUCCUGGCUGGACCAUGUGGGUUUAUCAGAGCAUUUUCCUUAUUGCCUCACGUAUUCCCUCACUCUCUUCAGCCGUAAAAACCUCAUCAUCUUCCUCUUUGCUGUACUUUGGCUUCUGUGGUAUGCGUCCAAUAACCACUGGCUCAUUCAGCCGAGGUGAUUUGAUUGUCCCCCAUACCACAUAGGCUUGCUUGGGUACGUCAAUUUUCUUUUCCGAUUCUGUCUCGGUGAUUUUACUCUUCUUUUCCCAUUUCUCGUGUUUCGGGGCUGCCUUGGGCUUCCUUUCCGCAUCAGCAGUAGCAAUUAUGGACUUAAGCAACGGAUCAAAAGUUUUAUCCUGCCCCGGUGUAAUCUCAAAUGAUGGUGGAUGAGGGUAAGCAUAUGCAGGAUAUGGCGGAUCUUCCUGAAAGACAUGAUUCUGGAAAGUGAACACCCAAGGGUCAGAAUCAAGCUUUGGCAAUGAAAGUUGUACUGUGGCAGAGCAUGGUAGAGCCAUAAUGAUGUUGGGAGCCGUCCCGGGCAUGAAUACUUGGGGGAAAACCUCAGAAGUGCCUCCUACAUAAUGAGUAGAUAUAGUAGGCUAUCCCAAUGUGAUGUUCGGGUGACUGAUUGGCACAUUGGAAGUACAUGUUGGCCUUGGGAGCAACUCGGUAAAUCCAGGGAUGGCGUUCGGGGGUUCUUUUUCGUUUGUCCAUGCAUCCCACAUUUCCAUCACCCUCAGACGCAAGUUUCUAUUCUCUUCAAAUGCAAAGGACUCGGAGGCCGGGAUACCCGAGAGCGGGCUAUUAUCUGAAAUAGGGAUAGUUGGCAGGGUCAUUUCCGACGACAUAUCUGUGCUACCUUUAGAUCUGGUGAAGUAAUGGUGUGAAGCCAGUUUGCCACAAAACCAACCACCUGUUUCUUAUAAACCUGGACUCUGGAAUUACAGCAGCAAAUGGUUAGUCUUGUGACAAAUACAGAUAGGUAAUCACACACCAACGACUGCUUGCAUCAUCCCGGGUUUUCUUUUAUUUUCCUUGCUUGUUUUUCUCUCUUUUUUUCUCAUUUUGUUUGUUUUCCUCUUUUUUCUUUUUUUCUGCUUUUCCUUUUCUUUUGCCAUGGUUUUCUUUGAUUUAUCUUCCGCUCUUGUGCUUCUUUUUGCUUUUCUAUUCUUUUCAUCCCCUCUCUUUUGUUUUUCUCUUAUGGCUACGGUCAAAUCCGAUGAGGAUUGCCUACGUAUCGCGACCCCGCACGAACCAGACCAAGUGUAGUUCGUGCAAAUAAGGUAAAUAAGCUAAGAAAUUUUUGAUUUUGAUUUCUGAUUUUUAUUUCUAUUUUUGAAAGAUGACUUCAAAAUUUCCUUUUCAAAAUUUGUGUAUUUUCUUUUAUUUUCUAUUUACAAAAGGCACCUAAGGAGUAUUUUAAUAAUUUAUUUGACCUAAAAGGAAAAGUGGGUAUUCUUCCAAAAUUUCUUUGCUUAGAAAAACAGGGACUUCGUCUUGCCGAUACAACCUUUCAGCACUUCUGGAGGAAGAUUAUAAGGUUGUGUCCGCAAACUAUUUACCAAUCACUCAAGGUGGCUGUUCUUGAAAAAACAACAUUCCGGCGCCCUUUUGGGGACAUUCGGCUUAUUUUUGACAAGAAUGGCGUCACCUGACUUAUUCAUGACAAAAUUAUUUUUUUAAAAUAUUUUUGGCUAUUUUUGCAAAGGGUGGUUGGACCCGAUAGGGGUUGCCUACAUAUCCCACGCCCCGUGAGAAUCAAACUGGCGUAGUUUGGGGAGAUGAAGAAUGGAUUAAAUAAGCUAACUCUUUUUUUGUUGGAAUUUUUGAAAGAAAUGCUUUAAAAGAAGAAAGGAAAUAUAUUUUUUUGUUUUUUAUUUUUGUUUUACUUUUUCAUUCGCUUUUGAUUUGAACUUGAGAAUUUCAAAAGUAAAAGGAAAAUAUUUUUUUUGAAUUUUCAUUUGUUUUACCUUUUUCUAAGGAAGAAAGAAAAUAUUUUUGGAUUUUGGAUAUUGCCUCUUAAUUUUCGAAAGAGGGACUUUGAAGAAAAUAUUUUGGAUUUCUAAGUUUUUAUUUAUUUACCAAAGUAUUUCUAAAGAAAAGCGAAAAUAUUUUUGGACUUCUAUUCUUUCAAAUUUUUUUAACACUUACAAAAGAAAACUUCGAAAGAGAGAAAAGAAUAUAUAUAUAUUUUGGAUUUUUGUUUUGAUUUGUGAAUAUUCGAAAGAAGGACUUUCAAGAAAACAUCUCAGAUUUCUAAGUGUUCUUUUUGGAUUUUUGUUUUGACUUGUGCAUAUUCGAAAGAAGGACUUUCAAGAAAACAUCUCAGAUUUCUGAGGGUUCUUUUAAAGAAAAGUAAAAAUAUUUUUGGACUUUUCAAAAAUUUUAUGGACAUUUUCAAAAGACAGACUUCUAAAGAAGAAAAUGGAUUUAUGUUUCUAUUUUUUUUUUUAAUUUUUUGGAAAAAUACUUCAAAAUAAAAAAUACCCAUAUUUUGGGAUUUUGAUUUUUUGAUUUUUUAAUUUUUCCUUUUUCGUAUGAAAAACAUUAGAAAGAAGGAAUUUUUUUUUGUGUGUGUGUGUGUGUUUAAACACUACUUUUUUUUUGGAAAAUUUUUUAAAGAAUGAACUAAAGGAAAUAUUUUUGGAUUUUUUUAAAAAAAUUGGGGUCUUAAAGAAAGACUUUUCUAAAGAAUGAAGUAAUGAAAAUAUUUUUUUGGAUUUUUUUGAAAGUUGGGGUCAGAACCGAUGAGGUUUGCCUACAUAUCUUACAUCCGGUGCGAAUCAGACCCGCAUAGUUCGGCCAAAUUAAUCGAACAUUUUUAAAACAAGACUUUUUUCAUUUUCAUUUUUGGCAUUUUAUAAGCAAAUAAAAUAAAUAACAAAAAACUAAUUUGUAAAAAACAAGACCUUUUUUCAUUUUCCAUGGCAAAACAAACUAUUUUUCUUUUCUAUUUUUUAAAACAAGACAAAAUACAACUCUCUUUUUUUUUCAUUCUUUUUCAUUUUCAACAAACAAUAAAACUACCUAUUUUUCCAAACUAAAAAAAAGAAUUCUUUUUUUCUUUUCUUUUUUCAUUUUCUCAAACUUUUGGGUGAGUUUCGACAGCACUUGGGCAUUGGUUUUGUUAAACUAAUCAGCUAACUCUCCGACUUGCUAUUUUUUCUCUUUUCCUCAUUUUCCUAACACCCCCGAGAUUCAAAAGCCGGUCAACAUGCAAGCCCGAGCAUAUGAAUGCACAGAAAACAAGUAGGAUGUAUCAGGAUGGUGUCUUCAUUUCAGGUUGCUAGCCCUAGACGGACCCAAUCCCUGUGUUGAGUCCCCUAAAUCAAAAUGCACAUGAUGCAAAUAAGCGUUCCUACUAGGGAUCCGGCAUGAGGCUGAAUUAUUAUAGGCUUAAAACCUGGGUGUUUGUUCUAGAUCUGGCUUACCCGAGCAGACAACUCGAGCUGAGGGGGAGGCGGCAAUCCGGGAAUACAGAAGAUUUACAGGUUUUGCGACUUAUCCAAACCUCAUUCUAAAUUGGGAUUUGAUACUAGACAGAAAGGAAGUCGUACACCGUGCACCCUUCUUCACGAUUCAGACGACUCAUAGAGGAGAUGUGUUUCAGCACAGUUUAUAUACAAUUCACAUAAUAUCAAAGCGGUAAAAGCAAUCAAUUAGCAUAUUAAGAACAUAGCAUGUAACAAAAUCAGAUAAAGCCAAACACUACAAUUAUUCUAAGCUCGAAUUCUGAACUCUGAACAAAACGUUCUGGGUUCUUUUCCCCAGCGGAGUCGCCAGAGCUGUCACACCUCCUUUUUACACACCUUACCCCGAAGGAUAAAUGUAUAAGGGAGUUUUUUCAUUUAAAGUUACAUUAUUCAGAUCGGGAUUAUUUAUUUGUUCAGAGUCGCCACUUGGAAAAGGUUUGGCUUUUGGUGUCCCAAGUCACCGGUUUUUCCUGAAUCUCGAACCGAGGAAAAUUUCGACUUCCGAUUGGAUUCUGCGAACCAAAAAUUCUGAAUAAGGAAUUUUGUUGACACGAGAGAAGGUUUUAGGCACCCUCGGAUCCCGUGGUUCUAGCACAAUCGCUUAAAUUAUUGUAUUUGAUUAAAACCUGAUUUUAAAGCAUGCUAACUUAUAUGCCUUUUAUUUAUAAAUCGCUUUUAUAUUUUUUUAUUUUUAAAAGACUUGCGAUGUUGUGAAAACACGUCUCUGGCCGUGUUGCCAUCAAGGCACACGUAGUCAUUGACACAUUUGGACUUCAUCGAGAUUCAGUCUUUUAUCUUUAUUUAUUUUUAAAAGCCUUGCGACGCUGUGAAAACACGUCCCUGACCGCGUCGCCGUCAAGGCACACGUAGUCAUCGACACAUUUCGACUUCAUCAAGAUUUGGAUUUGGAUCGCAAUCAAUGCACACCCGAGUUUAAGAAAAUAAUUUAUUUAAAUUGCGCAUAAAUGUUCUAACGCAAUGUUAUAUGGGAAAGGCAGUUGAAAUUUGCUAAGCGGCCCUUCCGAAUUCUAAUCAUUUUUAAUAACUAAUAAUUGAGUCCCCCACAUUUAUUCUUGUUCGGUGAGGCUCGUCUCCAAUUUCGAACCAUUUUUAAUCUUUAUUCGUUUUAUAAGAAUUACGACAUCAUGAAAACACGUCUCUGACUGCGUCACCAUCAAGGUACCCGUGGUUAUCAACACAUUUCGACUUCGUCGAGAUUUGGAUUUGGGUUGCAUUAAUGAACAGCCGAAUUUAGGAAGGUAUUUUAGUUAAACGCGUCUAAAGAUUCUAGCGUAUUAUUACCUUUUGGAAGGGCCGUGAAAUUCACUAAACGGCACGUCCCGAAUUCUAAGCAAUUCAACUUAAGGCAACCAAAUUAUUUGGUAUAAAAAAUUCUGCACAAAUAAAUCAUUUGGUAUGAAUAUGCAUUUAGGCACUUCACCACCACAAAACAAAACUAGACAGAAGGAGCAAUGUUUUUUUUUAGUACAAACACUAAGACGAAAGCAGAAUAAAUUUAGGCCUACGAAUUUAUUACUUUAUGUGAGUAAAACUUAGUAGACAAAUGUUAAGUUCAUCAGCAAAACAACAUCAUACUCAAAUAUAUUUGAAUUAUGCUAAUGGAACCAAAGAUAAACAAAGGGAGGAACUCAAAGCUAAAAUCAACAAUUGAGCCAACUAGUCUUUCAGAACUGAGCAGAAACUGAUAAAACAUUUUUCAUUUCAUGAGCUAAACAAACCAACAAAACUCAGCUAACAACGGUGGAGAUUGAAACUUUAAUUCCCAUGCCAAAACUUUGCAACACAUUUCACUCAUUAGUUAUAUUUAUUACUUGAUUUUAAAUGCAGACAACUUGGUAUAUGGAGAAUAAAGUAUAAUACGUCAUUUUCACAACAUAAAAGCAAACAGAGGGAAAAUAGAAGAAAACAUAUAGUAGAAUAGUGUUUUAUUGCAUUCAUGCCUAGAGCCGAUCACUUCAUCAAUGAAAAACCAGUUCUCUUAGAACUACAUAGUGCAGCACAAGAACAACAUAACAAACGCAUCAACGAGCAACUGAAACAACCAAACAAGUAGUGAAAAAAUCUAGCCAUCAUUCCUAAGAAGCAUUCACAGCAUCAUUUACUUUCAAAAAUAAACUUCUCAUGUCUGCAUAUUUUCACAUUAGCUCACAUGAACUCUCAUUUUAAACAUAGAAACCAAAAGAUGAAUUUCAGCAAUUUAUAACCAACUCGAAGAGCUUCAUAUGAACUAAUCAAGCACUUAUUUUAGAGAUUAACCGGAUAGAGACAGUAAUUGGAAUUACCCUACGGUUUCAAUCAAAACCAAUAUAUCAAGGAAUUUGGACACCCAGAUAUAUCAUUUUCUAAACAUACAUUCAAUCAUUUUCUCAUUUAAUGAAAAUAAUACAAGGAAUUGGGACUAACCUAGUUUAAUUCAAAGCUCAGUCAACAGCAGUCACAACGCGAUUUCCAAUCUCAGCUUGAACACCCAGAUAUAUCAACUUAAAUUUCUAAACUCGACCACAAAAUACAACUUGAUUCAAGUCGAUUGCAGCAACAACAAAAUAGGAAGAAACUACAGCGACUCGACCCGACGACCUCUCAUAAUCCCGACAAACUAGAACUCAAACGGGUUGGUUUUGGAGCUGAUUUUCAGUGAGCUAUUAGAGCUCUAUCUGGCUGGAUUUGGUGGCUGAUUGCAGCAAGUUUCAGCUGCCUUUUUGGGGUAUAUUUGGACUAUUUUUCGAGCAGAUUUUCGCCGGGUUUUGGGGCUGUUUUUCAGCAGUUCUUCAGCGGGAUUUUGUAACUGAUUUAGAGCAGUUUCAGGGCGUUCUUUUGGAGGUGAUUAGCGACUGGAUUUUUGGGUGUUAUGUUGUGUGUGUUCUUAGGAAAAAAUGGGGAAAUUCGCGUGUCCUCCCUUCUUCUAUCUGAUCUCUGUAUUUGUAUGUGAAGGAGUGAAAAAGAAGGGUUGAAAAAUUGGGGAACGAGACACGCCUCUCUCCCGGUCAGAAAUUGGAAUUACCCUACGGUUUCAAUCAUAACCAAUACAAAGCACACCUUAGAGCAACAUAAAUUCUAAUCUGAAGAGGUCUACGGAAACUCAACAUACAUUCAAUCAUUUUCACAUUUAAUGAAAAUAAUACAAGGAAUUUGGGACUGACCUAGUUGAAAUCAAAGCUCAGUCAACCGCAGUCACAACGUGAUUUCCAAUCUCAGCUUGAACACCCAGAUAUAUCAACUUCAAUUUCUGAACUCGACCACAAAAUACACCUCGAGUCAAGUCGAUUGCAGCGACAACAAAACAGAAAGCAACUACAACGAACUUGACCCGACGACCUCACAUAAUCUCGACAAACUCGAACUCAAACGAGUUGGUUUUUGGAGCUGAUUUUCAGUGAGCUCUUAGAGCUCUAUAUGGCUGGAUUUGGUGGCUGAUUGCAGCAAGUUUCAGCUGCCUUUUUCGGGUAUUUUUGAACUAUUUUUCGAGCACAUUUUCGCUGGGUUUUGGGGCUUUUUUCAGCAAUUCUUCAGCGGGAUUUUGUAACUGAUUUGGGGCAGUUUUAGGGCGUUCUUUUGGAGGUGAUUAGCGGCUGGAUUUAAGGUGUUCUGUUGUGUGUGUUCUUACGAAAAAAUGGGGAAAUUCACGUGUCCUCCCUUCUUCGUUCUGGAUCUCUAUAUUUGUAUGUGAAGGAGUAGAGAAGAAGGGUUGAAAAAUUGGGGAAUGAGACACGAGGAAAAGAACAGCAUUCAGCUAAAUGGUUGAGCUGUUUGGCCC